GGGCACGACACCGGAGAGGGAGCCUGAGAAACGGCUACCACAUCCAAGGAUGGCAGCAGGCGCGCAAAUUACCCAAUCCCGACACGGGGAGGUAGUGACAAUAAAUAACAAUACGGGGUUCUUUCGGAUCUCGUAAUUGGAAUGAGUACAAUUUAAAUCUCUUAACGAGGAACAAUUGGAGGGCAAGUCUGGUGCCAGCAGCCGCGGUAAUUCCAGCUCCAAUAGCGUAUAUUAAAGUUGUUGCAGUUAAAAAGCUCGUAGUUGAAUUUCGGGAUCAGAUUGUCGGUCGUGCCUCGGUACGCACUGGCAUUAUUGGUUCCUACCUUCUGAAGAACCGCGAUGUCAUUAAUUUGGUGUUGUGGGGAAUCAGGACUGUUACUUUGAAAAAAUUAGAGUGUUUAAAGCAGGCGCACGCUUGAAUACAUUAGCAUGGAAUAAUGAAAUAGGACGUUUGAUUCUAUUUUGUUGGUUUCUAGGAUCGACGUAAUGAUUAAUAGGGAUAGUUGGGGGCAUUAGUAUUCAAUUGUCAGAGGUGAAAUUCUUGGAUUUAUUGAAGACUAACUACUGCGAAAGCAUUUGCCAAGGAUGUUUUCAUUAAUCAAGAACGAAAGUUAGGGGAUCGAAGACGAUCAGAUACCGUCGUAGUCUUAACCAUAAACUAUGCCGACUAGGGAUCGGAUGAUGUUAAUUUUUUAAUGACUCAUUCGGCGCCUUACGGGAAACCAAAG
rnacentral:rRNA from 1 species